UCCUAUUCGAUGAAAAAGCCCGUUAGGGCUGGCAUGGUGAGCAUCGGCUUCUGCCGCACCGGCCGUCCUCCUCCUUGCAGCUUCCUUCAUCGCAGCUCCCUCCUCUAGCCCUGCAGCUUCGUGGGUGAGCGGAACGGCGUUGGCGGUAAACAGUUUUCGUCUGGCGACAUCUGGUCCGUGUGCCGGCCGCCGUGAAGGUCUUCAAAGCUCGUCCGGAAGCCUUCUUCAAAAGGGACUGGUUAAGAAGGCACUGGAGUUCUUCGUGUUCUGCGAAGCUUUUGUUCCUCGCAUCGUCUUCUCAACCAACCGAAAGCUUUGAGAUUUUCACCAACUGCAGUUACAGUGGGUCUAUAUGUUGAUGAGGCGUCAAGAAUAAUUUCAAGCCAGCUUCAGUGUAUAGUAGUAAACUUUGCGCCCUAACUGAAUUUGACAUGUUUACCCUAAGCCAAGGCCACCUUGGUUGAACAGGUAUUUGGCAGUUAGGUGGUAUUGCAGACUUAAAAGCUAGAGAUUAAAUUGUGACGCCGAGCUUGCAAGGUUGCUUAUCCUCUUCCACAACGUGUUUGGUCUGCUGCUUUGGCGGAUCUGAAACACACUCCCCCCUCAAAUAGCUUCAGUUUUAAUAGCCUAAUACUGUAAUGAUUUCAUGAUUUCACAGAGUAGAAUACUAAUAAUGCUGACCCACAGGUGAUCCUAAUGCAGCCCAGCAAAUUACCUUUAUAUCUUCACUUAGAAUGUGAUGUAAAGGUUCGGUCAAAGACUAAAUAAUUGGAUCUCCAAUGAGUAAAAAGAUAAAAGACAAGAAAGAGAGCAGUAGUAGGGGCAUGGUGGUCAACAUGGGCAAAAUGUGAUGGCUGAUAAACUUGCAGUAAAUAGUUUGGCAGAAGGCUUGUGCCUGGGAAGGCGAGUAAGCUGUUUCUCGGUGGCAAGGGAGACUCACUGGUCAUUGGGAUGCACAUUGCCUAGUUGACGCAAUCCAUUGAUAGUUGAAACCCGUGAAGAAGUCCAUGGACCAGGUGACAGAUUGUAGGGCAGCCUGUGAAUGGAAGGUGAGUGGUUUAUUAUAUCAGGAUCAGUAGCAUGGAUUUAUUUUGAAAUAAUAGAUUUGAUGUUCACUUGCACCUCCAGCAUGACUUUUUUAUUUUUUUGCUGUAUUAUAGCAGACUGCCUAGUAAAGAAUUCUUGUGACACAGGACUCUGGACAUGCCUUAGAAUGCCCAAUUUAACCAAUAGGCACACAUACAUUAUGAAUCCCCAAAUUAUGCUAGAGGUUUUAUUGCUUGAACUGUUUUACCAUUCUAAAAAGGACCAAUGCAUUCCUGCUUGAUGUUGUUGGCCGCAUCUUUGAGAGGUACGCUUUGUUCAUGGGUUCAGGAGAUCAAUUCAUGCUCUUAAGAAUGCUAGCAGAAUUAGUCCUUUGGUGGACAAGGGGCCUCAGAAGUGUCUUGCAAAACAGUCAUUUUGAAUACAACAUGCAUGUGUGGUAUUGUCCUUUUUUUUUUUUUUUGGUUUAUUCUGUAGAAAAAGAACGGGACAACGAAGCUGGAGGUAGGAACUGGAAGUCUGGAACUAUAUUGGUGCACUGCACUAGAUGAAUGGCUGAAGUUGGACAAUGUUUCUGCGGGUAUGACUGAAUGGAAGAGUCUUUUGAACAAUUACUGGACACGGUUUAGCAAGUACUGUGACCAUGUGACCAAAGUUGAUAUUCGACAGGUGGAACAGAUGUUGGGAGAGACUUUUAAGGAUCAAUUAUUCUCUUCUCUACUUAUUAAACACAGAACUUGUCCUAGGUACUUAUGCUGGUGUACACUUCUUUUUUUUUUUUUUGGGUUCAACUAGUACCCUAUUGCAGACUUAUCUGGCUUCAGAUAUAAUUUCCUGCACCUAAUUUCU